GACGAACGCUGGCGGUGUGCUUAACACAUGCAAGUGGUGCGACGAACCAGAGCUUGCUCUGGGGCAAAGCCGCGAACGGGUGAGUAACACGUGGGUAAUCUACCCCGAUGACCGGGACAACCCGAGGAAACUCGGGCUAAUACCGGAUGUGGUGCGGAGACAUAAGUCUCUUCACUAAAGGUAGCUUCGGCUUCCGCAUUGGGAGGGGCCCGCGGCCCAUUAGCUUGUUGGUGGGGUCAAGGCCUACCAAGGCAACGAUGGGUAGCUGGUCUGAGAGGACGAUCAGCCACACUGGGACUGAGACACGGCCCAGACGCCUACGGGAGGCAGCAGUGGGGAAUCUUGCGCAAUGCGCGAAAGCGUGACGCAGCAACACCGCGUGAGGGAAGAAGGCCUUAGGGUUGUAAACCUCUUUCAGAUGGGACGAAGGUUCUCCGGUGAAUAGCCGAGAGGAUUGACGGUACCGUCAGAAGAAGCUCCGGCUAACUACGUG
rnacentral:rRNA from 1 species